rnacentral:rRNA from 1 species
UACGUAGGGUGCAAGCGUUAUCCGGAAUUAUUGGGCGUAAAGAGUCCGUAGGUGGCUAAUCAAGUCUGCUGUCAAAGCGUGGAGCUUAACUCCAUACCGGCGGUGGAAACUGAUGAGCUAGAGUGCGAUAGGGGUAGCAGGAAUUCCCAGUGUAGCGGUGAAAUGCGUAGAGAUUGGGAAGAACACCAGCGGCGAAAGCGUGCUACUGGGUCUGCACUGACACUGAGGGACGAAAGCUAGGGGAGCGAAAGGG